GGGGGCAGGGGAAGACAGA
rnacentral:miRNA from 1 species